GAGGUGGGGAAGGGAAGGCGGGGGUGAGGGGGAAGAGGAGCAGCCGCUUUCACUGCCCGGGGAUCUUUCCUUGCAGGAGCGGGUGCUGGUGGUUCUCCGCCACACAGCUCUGGGCAACCGACUGCUCCACCCGGUCGCCUGGGGCAGCGCGGUUGGGUCACCACCUGUCAUUUUACUCCAAACCACCCCGGCUCCCGCUUGGAGGCCCCUUCCUCUCCCCGAGGGCGAUCAGUCAGGCGCAGCGUGAUGACUUCAGAUUCCUAGAAGGGGUGUGCUGCAGUCAGGGAACCAGGUCCUAAAAUACCGAGUGCUAACCCCCUGACCGCUCCACUUCGCUUUCCCCCUCAGAGCCAAAGCAAUGAGAUAAGGAGCCAUGUGGUGUGUGGACUCUCCAGAUGAAGACAGCAAUCCAGGCACAUUACAGAAGGCUAAAGUGCAAGCCACCGGGAUCACAGAGGGAUGCGGAUCUCUGGGCCAGAGGCCAGAAAAUUUUUAAUUGAGGAAAACUCUCCUUAAAGAUGCUCAGAUGAAAUUCUGCUAAAUGGAAGAUUUCUUCAACAACUAUCUUCAUGACUCCUUCGAAUGUUUCCCCAAACUUAGAUGCAAGAUUGUCCACCUCUUCAGUACACCUCUUGUACACCUCUCAUCUAAUUAGCAAUAAAUAUAUCCAAUUAAAAAUCAUACUAAAAAUA